GAUGAACGCUGGCGGCGUGCCUAAUACAUGCAAGUCGAGCGAACAGACGAGGAGCUUGCUCCUCUGACGUUAGCGGCUGACGGGUGAGUAACACGUGGAUAACCUACCUAUAAGACUGGGAUAACUUCGGGAAACCGGAGCUAAUACCGGAUAAUAUAUUGAACCGCAUGGUUCAAUAGUGAAAGACGGUUUUGCUGUCACUUAUAGAUGGAUCCGCGCCGCAUUAGCUAGUUGGUAAGGUAACGGCUUACCAAGGCAACGAUGCGUAGCCGACCUGAGAGGGUGAUCGGCCAAACUGGAACUGAGACACGGUCCAGACUCCUACGGGAGGCAGCAGUAGGGAAUCUUCCGCAAUGGGCGAAAGCCUGACGGAGCAACGCCGCGUGAGUGAUGAAGGUCUUCGGAUCGUAAAACUCUGUUAUUAGGGAAGAACAAAUGUGUAAGUAACUAUGCACGUCUUGACGGUACCUAAUCAGAAAGCCACGGCUAACUACGUG
rnacentral:rRNA from 1 species